rnacentral:tRNA from 1 species
AGAUAAUAAGCUUUAAGCAAUUUCAUUGUUAAUGAUUAGAAGUAGUAGUGAGGGGGCUUCCCCCUUUUCGG